rnacentral:rRNA from 1 species
AACGAACGCUGGCGGCAUGCCUAACACAUGCAAGUCGAACGAGACCUUCGGGUCUAGUGGCGCACGGGUGCGUAACGCGUCGGAACCUGCCCUUAGGCUCGGAAUAACUCCCCGACAGGGGUGCUAAUACCGGAUAACGUCUUCGGACCAAAGAUUUAUCGUCUUUGGAUGGGCCCGCGUUGGUUUAGCUUGUUGGUAGGGUAAAAGCCUACCACGGCGACGAUCCAUAGCUGGUCUGAGAGGAUGAUCAGCCACACUGAGACUAUGACACGGCCCAGACUCCUACGGGAGGCAGCAGUGGGGAAUAUUGGAAAAUGGGCGAAGGCCUGAUCCAGCAAUGCCGCGUGAGUGAUGAAGGCCUUAGGGUUGUAAAGCUCUUUUACCCGGGAUGAUAAUGACGGUACCGGGAGAAUAAGCUCCGGCUAACUCCGUG